CCAGAGGGGGAGGAGCCAGCAGCAUGGUGGUUAACAUCAGUGUCUCUGGUGGAUCAGUGAUCCUGCAGAGUCCUGUCCUCCCUGUGAUGGAGGGUCAUGACCUCACUCUGAGCUGUCAAUCAAAGACCCCUCCCUCCAACCCCUCAGCUGCUUUCUAUAAAGAUGGCUCCCUCAUCAGGACUGAGCCUACAGGUCACAUGACCCUCCAGCAUGUUUCCAGGUCUGAUGAAGGUCUCUACAAGUGUCACAUCAGGGAUCAUGGAGAGUCUCCAUCCAGCUGGAUCUCUGUCUCAGAGAGACCGAGACCCACAGAAGCCCCGCCCCCCAAUGAUAACUCACCUCCUGCCUUAUCUUCCUUUGGUCUUGUGUUGUGAGUGUGUCUCCACCUGGUGGUGAUCAGUCCAAACACCAUCUCAACCUUCCUUAUGGUGUCUUUAUACUGACAAAGGAAGUGACCCGUCUGUCUCCAAGAUGAUGACCCAGCACUCACAUGCUGAGCAGGGAUUGGCUGAUGACUAUGAUGACAUCAUCACAUCUGGAACCACAGAGCAUCAAUUCUGAACUAGAAGUUGUUUUUUUGUUUAAGAAACUUUAAAUUUUACAUUUUUUUUCUGUUUUUAAUUCAUUAUUUUCUUUGAUUUACUUUAUAAUUUUCACUCAUUUUGUUUAAAAUAAAUG